rnacentral:rRNA from 1 species
GAUGUACGCUGGCGGCGUGCCUAAUACAUGCAAGUCGAGCGAACGGACGAGAAGCUUGCUUCUCUGAUGUUAGCGGCGGACGGGUGAGUAACACGUGGAUAACCUACCUAUAAGACUGGGAUAACUUCGGGAAACCGGAGCUAAUACCGGAUAAUAUUUUGAACCGCAUGGUUCAAAAGUGAAAGACGGUCUUGCUGUCACUUAUAGAUGGAUCCGCGCUGCAUUAGCUAGUUGGUAAGGUAACGGCUUACCAAGGCAACGAUGCAUAGCCGACCUGAGAGGGUGAUCGGCCACACUGGAACUGAGACACGGUCCAGACUCCUACGGGAGGCAGCAGUAGGGAAUCUUCCGCAAUGGGCGAAAGCCUGACGGAGCAACGCCGCGUGAGUGAUGAAGGUCUUCGGAUCGUAAAACUCUGUUAUUAGGGAAGAACAUAUGUGUAAGUAACUGAGCACAUCUUGACGGUACCUAAUCAGAAAGCCACGGCUAACUACGUG